CUCCGGUUGAUCCUGCCGGACCCGACUGCUAUCAGAGUGAGAUUAAGCCAUGCGAGUUAACGUAGCAAUACGUGGCGCACGGCUCAGUAACACGUAGUCAACAUGCCCAGAGGACGUGGAUAACCUCGGGAAACUGAGUCUAAACCGCGAUAAGUGAGGAUUUCUGGAAUGGUUCCUGACCAAAAUCUAUAUGGCCCCUGGAUUGGACUGCGGCCGAUCAGGCUGUUGGUGAGGUAAUGGCCCACCAAACCUGUAACCGGUACGGGCUCUGAGAGGAGGAGCCCGGAGAUGGGCACUGAGACAAGGGCCCAGGCCCUAUGGGGCGCAGCAGGCGCGAAACCUCUGCAAUAGGCGAAAGCUUGACAGGAUUACUCUGAGUGAUUUCCGUUAAGGAGAUCUUUUGGCACCUCUAAAAAUGGCGCAGAAUAAGGGGUGGGCAAGUCUGGUGUCAGCCGCCGCGGUAAUACCAGCACCCCGAGUGGUCGGGACGUUUAUUGGGCCUAAAGCAUCCGUAGCCGGUUCUACAAGUCUUCCGUUAAAUCCACCUGCUUAACAGAUGGGCUGCGGAAGAUACUAUAGAGCUAGGAGGCGGGAGAGGCAAGCGGUACUCGAUGGGUAGGGGUAAAAUCCGUUGAUCCAUUGAAGACCACCAGUGGCGAAGGCGGCUUGCCAGAACGCGCUCGACGGUGAGGGAUGAAAGCUGGGGGAGCAAACCGGAUUAGAUACCCGGGUAGUCCCAGCUGUAAACGAUGCAGACUCGGUGAUGAGUUGGCUUAUUGCUAACUCAGUGCCGCAGGGAAGCCGUUAAGUUUGCCGCCUGGGGAGUACGGUCGCAAGACUGAAACUUAAAGGAAUUGGCGGGGGAGCA
rnacentral:rRNA from 1 species